rnacentral:lncRNA from 9 species
GAGAAGGCGCUUUGCUGGGAAGAGGAGCAGCAGCAACGGCGCGGAGGGAGGAGCCUUUCCGGAAAGCUCGGGAGGCGCGCUCUGCGCCCGGGGUGUGCGGGAUGAAGGCGGAGAGGCGGCCUGGGGCCGGGUCCUAUUGGAUUGUAGAAGAAGGAAAAUGGGGGUUCCCGUCGUGGCGCAGCGGAAGCAAAUCCGACUAGGAACCGGGAGGUUGAGGGUUUAAUCCCUGGCCUCACUCGGUUAAGGACCCGGCGUUGCCGUGAGCUGUGGUGUAGGUCGCAGACGCGGCUCGGAUCCUGCAUUGCUGUGGCUCUGCCGGCCUGCACCACAGCAACAUGGGAUCCUUAACUCACUGAGCCAGGCCAGGGCUGGAACCCGCGUCCUUUUGGGUGCUAGUCAGAUUCGUUUCAGCUGAGCCGCGUCGGGACCUCCCGUCUUAAAUUUUAUUAAAAAUCCCCCUGGCUAUUGAUGGAGAAUAGACCGGAGGGGAGUGGUGAGGAUGGGGAGGUUGAAAGGGUGGAAGCAAAGAAAUUGCAGAGUAGAAGGUGAUGGCAGGUGAUGAAAUGGGAUGCAGGUGUGGCUGGGGUGAAGUGAGCUAGGGAACGGAUGAUAGGAAGUAGCCAUGGGCCAGAUGAGAUAGGGCUUUGUAGAUCACAGAAUUCCUUCCAAAAGGGUUGGGGGGAGUAAGGGGGUCCCCCUUCAGUUUUACAAGGAAUCCUCAAGUUGCUGUGUGUGAAUAGAUCGUCCAGGGGCAGGAGCGGAAGCAGGCAGAGAGCACAGUUAGGAAGCGGUUCCGGGGAUGGAGAGAGACAGUGAGUCAGACCCGAGUGGAAGCGGUGAUAGGGGAUCUAAUUUGACGAUAGAGCCAGCAGGGCUUGCCAGUGUGUUAUGGAGUAAGAGUGAAAGAACCGUGGUGCUGUUUGCUGAGAUGGAGACUGCAGGAGGAGCAGAGCUGGCCCAGGUGUGGUUUGGAGCACGUUAGGUUUCAGUCGCCUGGGGAACGCCAGUGGCGGUGUCUCGUGGACUCUUGGCUCUUCCAGCCUGGAGUUCAGGCUUGAGCACUGAAUUCCAAGCCGCCAUUGUCUGGGUGGUGGUUAAAAGCGUGGACUGAAUGGACGUGUCUGGGAGGAGCGUGUUGAUGGAGCAGAUCUAAGGACCACGGAGUUCCCGUCGUGGCGCAGUGGUUAACGAAUCCGACUAGGAACCAUGAGGUUGCGGGUUCGGUCCCUGCCCUUGCUCAGUGGGUCAAGGUUCUGGCGUUGCCGUGAGCUGUGGUGUAGGUCGCAGACGUGGCUCGGAUCCUGCGUUGCUGUGGCUCUGGUGUAGGCUGGCAGCUACAGCUCCGAUUCGACCCCUAGCCCGGGAACCUCCAUAUGCCGCAGGAGCGGCCCAAGAAAUGGCAAAAAGACAAAAAAAAAAAAAAAAGAUCUAAGGACCAGGACCUGGGGUACUUUAGUGUAAUGAGAUGGAAGCAGAAGGAAAAGCCGGGAAACUGGAAGAAAUGGCAGUUGAGUAAGAGAAAAAGCAGGGGCUCGGGUGUCUAUAAAGCAGAUCAAAGAAAGUUCUUUCUGAAAGAAGCUGAUCAGCUGGACUGGAUGCUGUUGAGAGCUGGGCGAGAUGGCCCCACCACUCACUCGCAGGGCGCCCUGAGAGUGUGAAGAAUGUUCCUGGCACAGAAAGAUCCAAGUCGCCCUCCAGCCCCGCCUCCUUUGCAGGUGGCUCUUGUGCAUUAGCGCACCUUGCAAGAGCCCGCAUCGCUGUGUCUGCUGGCCGUGCUCCCGCCGCGGUCCUGUCACCCCAUAUCGCUUGGACUUCACAGGUCAUUCGAAGGAGUCUGGAAAACAACCCCUCUGGUUUCCCUUCUGCUCACCAUGAAGUCAUGAUCACAGAGUAAUCAGUGUUUCCUCCAAGAAACACUGCAGGUUUCGUGGCUUCUGAAAGUCACUGCUCUUGAGUCUUUCUGAGACGGGGAACCGAGGCCCCACGUCGCAGAUGCUCCGGAUUAGCGACACUUGGGGUGCUAGAGAAGUCUUCAUGUCUGCCUCCGGCUCAGUCACCUGGCGGUUCCGGGUACAAGGGAGCGGGGCCAUCAGGUCGCCUGUGGUGAGUGCUGUGAGGAAGCAAAGCCCGGUGAGGGCGAUGGGCUGGCCUCCCUGAGAAGCGGUAUUUUCUGGUCAGACCUGAAGGCGGGGAAGAGCGGGGCUGGGGCGAGAGGAGCGCUCUGGACGGGAGAGCCUGCGGGAGGGAGGGUGGCAUGCGACUGUGAGGGGCCCAGAGGAGCUUGGUGAGGGAGGGAGGCAGGGAGCCAGGCGGCUUGGCUUCAUUCUGAUGGCAGUGGAACCCGUGCCCGCGGCGUGCCGAAGUUCUCGGGCCAGGGAUCAGACCUGUGCCACUGCAGUGACAGUGCCAGGUCCUUAACCUGCUGAGCUACCCAGGAACUCUUCUUUCCCACUGGUGUUGAAUUGCGCUACAGUGUCUGCUGAGUGUCGGGUGUACAGCAGCGGGAAUCCGUUCCACGUGUACCCAGAGCCGUUCUUUUCCCCCCGCACAGGUUGUCACAGAACUUGGAGCAGACCUCGCUGUGCUGCAUGCUCGGUUCUUAAACAGAAUUAGCGAGGUUGUAUAGUAGCGUGUAUGUGUUACUCCCGCCCUCCCAGUUUAGCCCUCCCCCCAUAACUCCCCUUUGGGAACCAUAAAUGUGACUUUGAAGUCUGAGAAUCUGUUUGCUUUUAUAGAUGGGUUCUUUGGUAUCGUUUUUAUUAGAUUCCACACGUCAGUGAUAUCAUAGGUAUCUGUUUUUCUCUUUCUGACUUUGCUUAGUGUUAUCACCUCUGGUUCCGUCCACAUCAUUGCAGAUGGCAUUGUUUUGUUCUUUCUUAUGGCCGAUACCAUGUGUGUGUGUGUGUGUGUGUGUGUGUGUGUGUGUGUGUGUGCGCGCGCGCUUCAUCUUCUUUAUCCAUCCCUUUGUCGGGGGACAUGUAGGUGGCUUCCAUGUCUUGGCUGUUGUAAAUAGUGCUGCAGUGAACCCUGGGGCGCAUGUAUCUCAUGGUUUUCUCUGGAUGUAUGCCCAGGAGUGGGAUUGCUGGGUCAUGCGGUAGCUCUGUAUUUCAAUUUCAUGGUUUUCAAGGAAACGCCAUGCUGUUUUUCAUGGUGGUUGCACCAGUGUACAUGCCCACCCAUGGUGUAGGAGGGUCCUGUUUUCUCCAGCAUUUAUUGUUUGUAGACUUUCUGAUGGUGGCCAUUCUGACUGAGGUGGGGUGAUGUCUCAUUGUGGUUUGACGUGCAUUUUCUCUAAUUAGUGAUGUUGAGCAUCUUUUCGAGUGCUUUUUGGCCAUCUGUCUGUCUUUGGAGAAAUGUCUAUUUAGAUCUUCAGACCACUUUUUCAAUGGGUUGUUUGGUUUUUUGAUCUAAAGCUGUGUGAGGAGUUCCCGUCGUGGCUCAGUGGUUAACGAAUCCGACUAGGCACCAUGAGGUUGCGGGUUUGAUCCCUGGCCUCGCUCAGUGGGUUAAGGAUCUAAUGUUUCCGUGAGCUGUGGUGUAGGUCGCAGACACAGCUCAGGUCCCAUGUUGCUGUGGCUCUGGCGAAGGCUGGCAGCUACAGCUCCGAUUAGACCCCUAACCUGGGAACCUCCAUAUGCUGCGGGAGUGGCCCAAGAAAUGGCAAAAAAAAUAAAAAUAAAAAUAAAAAAUAAAGCUGUGUGAGUCGUUAUAUAUUUUGGAGAUCCCUUGUUGGUUGCUUUGUUUGCAAAGAUUUUCUUCCAUUUUGUGGGUUGUCUUUUUGUUUUUGUUUUUUAUGGUCAACUAACCUGACAAAGGAGAUAAGAAUAUACAAUAGAAAAAAGCCUCUUCAAUAAGUGGUGCUGGGAAAACUGGACAGCCACAUGCAAAAGAAUGUAGUUAGAAUAUUCUCUCACACCAUACACAAAAAUAAACUCAAAAUGGACUAGAGCCUUAAAUCAAGGUGGGAUACUAUAAAACCCCAAAGGAAAACAUAGGCAGACCACUCUGAUAUAAAUCAGAGCAAUAUCUUUUUUGAUCAACCUCCUAGAGUAAUGAAAAUAAAAACUAAAAUGAGCAAAUGAGACCCAAUUAAACCUAAAAAGCUUCUGCACAGUAAAGGAAACCAUGAAAAAAAAGAAGAAAAAAUGCAGAGUUCCUGUCAUGGUGCAGCGGAAACAAAUCCGACUAGGAACCAUGAGGUUGCGGGUUCAAUCCCUGGUCUCUCAGUGGGUUAAGGAUCUGGCGUUGCCAUGAGCUGUGGUGUAGGUCGAAGAUGCUGCUCAGAUCCCUCGUUGCUGUGGCUCUGGCGUAGGCCAGUGGCUGUUGCUCGGAUUAGACCCCUAGCCUGGGAACCUCCAUAUGUCACAAGUGUGGCCCUAAAAAGCAAAAGGAGAAAAAAAAAAAAAA